rnacentral:rRNA from 1 species
GACGAACGCUGGCGGCGUGCCUAAUACAUGCAAGUCGAGCGGACCAAUAGAAGCUUGCUUCUGUUGGUUAGCGGCGGACGGGUGAGUAACACGUGGGCAACCUGCCUGUAAGACUGGGAUAACUUCGGGAAACCGGAGCUUAUACCGGAUAAUUCAUCCCCUCGCAUGAGGGGAUGCUGAAAGUCGGUUUACGCUGACACUUACAGAUGGGCCCGCGGCGCAUUGGCUAGUUGGUGCGGUAAUGGCUCACCAAGGCGACGAUGCGUAGCCGACCUGAGAGGGUGAUCGGCCACACUGGGACUGAGACACGGCCCAGACUCCUACGGGAGGCAGCAGUAGGGAAUCUUCCACAAUGGACGAAAGUCUGAUGGAGCAACGCCGCGUGAGCGAUGAAGGCCUUCGGGUCGUAAAGCUCUGUUGUUAGGGAAGAACAAGUAUCGGAGUAACUGCCGGUACCUUGACGGUACCUAACCAGAAAGCCACGGCUAACUACGUGCCAGCAGCCGCCGUAAAAC